rnacentral:rRNA from 1 species
GAUGAACGCUAGCGGCAGGCUUAACACAUGCAAGUCGAGGGGCAGCAUGAGACGGAGAUUCGUCGAAGUCUUGAUGGCGACCGGCGCAAGGGUGCGUAACGCGUGAGCAACUUGCCCGUUUCAGGGGGAUAACCGGUGGAAACGCCGACUAAUACCCCAUGGUAUGUUUUUGAGGCAUCUCUUAAACAUUAAAGAAUUUCGGAAACGGAUAGGCUCGCGUGACAUUAGCUAGAUGGCGGGGUAACGGCCCACCAUGGCGACGAUGUCUAGGGGUUCUGAGAGGAAGGUCCCCCACACUGGAACUGAGACACGGUCCAGACUCCUACGGGAGGCAGCAGUGAGGAAUAUUGGUCAAUGGUCGAGAGACUGAACCAGCCAUGCCGCGUGAAGGUCACGGCCCUAUGGGUCUUAAACUUCUUUUGUAAGGGAGCAAUAAGUCUCACGUGUGGGAUGAUGAGAGUACCUUACGAAUAAGCAUCGGCUAACUCCGUGCCAGCAGCCGCGGUAAUACGGGGGAUGCAAGCGUUAUCCGGAUUUAUUGGGUUUAAAGGGUGCGUAGGCGGUCUGGUAAGUCAGCGGUGAAAUUCAGGGGCUCAACCUCUGCCGUGCCGUUGAUACUGCUGGACUAGAAUGCGGAUGCCGUGGGAGGAAUGUGUGGUGUAGCGGUGAAAUGCAUAGAUAUCACACAGAACACC